AGCAUUAGAAUGGAACCCAGCGGGACAUCGCAGCAGAGGCAGACCCAGAGGCUCAUGGCGGCGAAGCCUCAAUAAAGAAAUAAAAGAAGUCAACCGAAAUCUAACCUGGCAACAGGUUAAAGCGAUAGCCGGGCAACGCUCAGGAUGGAGAUCUUUCAAGUCGGCCCUUUGCACCACCGGAGGUGUACAUGAUCCAUAAGUAAGUAAGUAAGUCAGCUAUACCUAAGGUGGCACCAGCGUGAAGGAGUAAAUCCGAUGGCCCAGAUCCGGAGAACGUGAAUUCCGAGCCGUGGACCCCACGACCAACACUGCAUUCAAGUAUAACAUCUAUCACAGCGGCGGCGGAAAAGCAGAGUAUGAAGUUGGUUUCGUAGUGAUGGGCAAGCAGAUGAAGCGAGUGAUGUGGUCGAAGCCCAUUAGCGAACAAAUCUGUUAAAAUUCAAAAAUUUAAAUUCAAAUCUAAAAAUAAAAUAAAUCUGGCAAAUUCUUCAAUUACAGCAUAAUCAACGUUUACGCACCGACAAACGAUAAACUCGACGACGUGAAUGACACGUUUUAUGAAUGUCUUGAUAUAUUUAUAAAGCCUAUGGAGAGUGCCCAAAGCAUGACGUGAAAAUUGUUAUCGGAGACGCUAACGCUCAGGUCGGUAGAGAGGACUUUUUCCGUCCCAUAAUUGGUAGGGAGAGCCUUCACUCCGCUACCAACGACAAUGGCCUACGGCUAGUAAAUUUCGCUGCUGCCAGAGGGAUGGCCAUCAGCAGUACCAACUUUGCACGAAAGAAUAUUCGAACGCAUUUGGAGACACCCAUAUGGUGAAACUGGCAACCCGAUAGACCAUGUUCUGGUGGAUGGGGCCAUUUCUCGAAUGUUAUCGAUGUGCGGACAUUCAGAGGUCCGAACAUUGACUCUGAUCACUACCUCGUUGUCAGUAAAAUUCGAACACGGUUGUCAACUGUAUCGAAUGAAAAAUCCCAGCAAACGAUGCGUUACAAUAUCCAGCGGAAGGAGUAUCGGCUAAGUACCACCAGAACCCGACGAACGGAUAAGUGCAAUCAACGUUGGCGACAACAUCAACGAACUAUUCUGCCGCGAUUCGCAUAAGAGUCCCAUGUCGAUUUUUCACGAUUUUGAUUUUCUUUAAGAAAUAAGCUUAAAAUGAGCUCACCUUUAAGAAAAACUGAUAAAAUAAUAGGCUUUUUCUAGAAAUUUGAAAAUCAAAAUCCACUUGUGUUGUCUCAUCUUGCUAUUUAUUCGCAUAAUAGUCACAUUCCAGAUUUUAAUACACUCUCACACAAAACAUCAAUGUAAUUAUGGUCCAUUUGAUAGUUCCAUAGCAAUGUAUACAGAUAAAGAAUAUUAUGCCAAAUUUUCAUAAAGAUUGCUGGUUUUAUCGAUUUAUUAGAAUUUUUUUAAUUUCUCCAUGUAAAACGAGUUUGCAAAAUUCAACGGCAUUUUUCUCAAGUUGAAGAAAACUGACAUGGGACGCUUAUGCGAAUAGGGGCAGUAUGGGAGUCGAUCCAUGGAGCGGUGAGCACUUCAGCACGAGAAGUGGUAGGCACUGCACAGAGGCGACCCAGGACGGGUUGGUUCGAUAUGGAGUGUCAGAGAGUGACAGACGAGAAGAACGUUGCCAGAAGCCGGAUGUUGGUGUCGGGUACCCGAUCGAAUAGAGAUCGGUACAAGGAAGCAGCCAAAAAACGAACCCACCGCAGGAAGAAGACUUUGUUGAAUAGUGGAAGUGACGGUGCAUCGGUGGAAAUAAUGGAAAUGUGGAAUGCAGUAGGGAUCCUACAUUCAGAGAUAUGCGAAAGCGGCCAUCUUGAGCCAAUCGAGCAUUGAGAGCUGUCAGAAUCUGAGCCAAAUGAACAUUGUUAUUGUUGCGGAUUGAAAGGUGUUGCGAUUGUAAUGAAAAAGAUUUUACGAAAAGUUUUGUCGAAUAAACAAUUUGUUUUACAUUGGCAAGUUGAAGUAGUGUCGUUUAUGCAUGGUAUUUUGUUCAUUUGUAUUGCACUUUUAUUUUAGUGAUAAUGCACUGUUGGACGUUAGAUAACGAAAUCUGUAAAUGCCAUUAUACGCAAAGUCAUGUUCGAGCUCCAACAUUUUGCUCCACGGCAAGUGCUAGCAGCGUAUCCCAGCAAGGAAGGUUACUCUAACUUGAGCAUAACGUGCAUCUAUCCUGUUAGAUAGUUACACUAACAUUCUCACUAACAGUUAGGGUAAAGUGAGGCUAAAGUUACGCUAGAAUGACACACUUUUGUUAGGUAUGUUUAUGAUUCGUGCAUAAUUUCAUCUAACAUGUUACUCUCACGUUAGAUGAACGUUAUGUAUGUUUUUCUUUGGUCGAUUAGGCAGCGGUUAGGGUUGUUUCAAAAGGGAUUUUCAUGCUGAUUUAUUUACAUCCAGUUGUCAUCAGAGGCAGAUAAGUACAUAAAGUACAUAACUGCCUCCAAUGACAGUUGGAUGUAAAUAAAAUAUAAAUAAACAUCUUCGGGGCCUUCGGAGACUUUUUCCCCUUUCAUAAUUAUUUUAUAUAUAACAUAUUUGUAUUUGCUAUUGUACAUCGAAUCAGACAAAGGUUUGCACUGCCGCAAUGCCACCUUUCGGCUCGGAACAGUCUUCGUCGUCUGGCCACUUCCAAUGACAUCAAGAUUUCGUAUGUUCCCCGCGGUAAACACAGAAUUCAGUACGUACGUCCUGUGAAGAGCAGAUAAUUUCUACCAACGACCAGUGGACAAGUUCAGGAAGACAUGAUGAGACUCGAAUACGAAAUGCGUAUAGCCGUGUGUGUUUGUUCCGCGUCCCUGGAGGUACUUUCCGCAUACCAAACAGGCAUAGACGUUAAUCCGGAUUAGGGAGACCGGCUUCUCAAAGUCGAAAUCCAACAGAUGCCGAUUGAAAGUGUCCAUGUAGGGGCUCAAUUUAGAUCGGCUCGGUCACGAUUCCGGCACUUUCGAUUUGAUUCUUCUGGCAUUAUCUUCGUAGUCAUCGGAACCAAUGUCCUCAAGUUUUGGCUUCUUAGCUGACGAGGUUUUUGACGAUGGUGCUGAAAUGAAUCGAAUGCCAUUUCAAGGACAUCAAGCAAAGCAGCAUCGACGAGUUUGCAGACGAUACAAUUUGUGAUCCUGGCAAAGGUUUGCACUGCCGCCUUUCGGCUCGGAACAGUCUUCGUCAUCUGACAAUAUCCAAGGGUAUGAGAGCAGGAAUAAAGGCUACGGAAAUGUCGAUUCGUCCGAUACACGAAAAUGCUUUGCAAUUUUCAGAUAGCACACACUACGGCCAUCCAUCCGAUGCGGCCUUUUGCUUCCGGUUAAAAUUUAUUAAUAGGAAUAUGCAUUGCAAUAGACAUUAAGCAAAGCUAAAUAAAAUUUAUGUACUAAAUG